GCUUCAUAUCCAAGCAUCAAUUAGGCAGUUGGUGCCUCUUGUACAUUUGACCAUGGCUUUUCUAGUUCAACUGGCACCAAGUUGGCAAAAUCAUUAGCAAUGUUUUUGGAUGAGGCACUUUGAAGUGACGGGACAUUAAAGUACAGAACAGGUGAAACAAUAAUACAUUAAUCUUCACCAAUGAAACAAUAGUUAUAAAAA